rnacentral:rRNA from 1 species
UACGGAGGGUGCGAGCGUUGUCCGGAUUUAUUGGGUUUAAAGGGUGCGUAGGCGGCCUUUUAAGUCCGGGGUGAAAGCCCGUUGCUUAACAACGGAACUGCCCUGGAUACUGGAAGGCUUGAGUACAGACGAGGUUGGCGGAAUGGACUGAGUAGCGGUGAAAUGCAUAGAUACAGUCCAGAACCCCGAUUGCGAAGGCAGCUGACUAGGCUGUUACUGACGCUGAGGCACGACAGCGUGGGGAGCGAACAGG